CCUACGGGAGGCAGCAGUAAGGAAUAUUGGUCAAUGGACGCAAGUCUGAACCAGCCAUGCCGCGUGAAGGAUUAAGGUCCUCUGGAUUGUAAACUUCUUUUAUUUGGGACGAAAAAGGGCCUUUCUAGGUCAACUGACGGUACCAGAUGAAUAAGCACCGGCUAACUCCGUGCCAGCAGCCGCGGUAAUACGGAGGGUGCAAGCGUUAUCCGGAUUCACUGGGUUUAAAGGGUGCGUAGGCGGGUAGGUAAGUCAGUGGUGAAAUCCUGGAGCUCAACUCCAGAACUGCCAUUGAUACUAUUUAUCUUGAAUAUUGUGGAGGUAAGCGGAAUAUGUCAUGUAGCGGUGAAAUGCUUAGAUAUGACAUAGAACACCUAUUGCGAAGGCAGCUUACUACGCAUAUAUUGACGCUGAGGCACGAAAGCGUGGGGAUCAAACAGGAUUAGAUGCCCUGGUAGUCCACGCCCUAAACUAUGACUACUCGACAUUUGUGAUACACAAUAAGUGUCUGAGCGAAAGCAUUAAGUAAUCCACCUGGAAGUACGUCCGCAAGGAUGAAGCUCAAAUGAAUUGACCGGNGUUGAGAGNGCGAGGACGACACGAGGGAGGAGG
rnacentral:rRNA from 1 species